GUCCACACCGUAAACGUUGGGCGCUAGGUGUGGGACUCAUUCCACGAGUUCCGUGCCGCAGCUAACGCAUUAAGCGCCCCGCCUGGGGAGUACGGCCGCAAGGCUAAAACUCAAAGGAAUUGACGGGGGCCCGCACAAGCGGCGGAGCAUGCGGAUUAAUUCGAUGCAACGCGAAGAACCUUACCUAGGUUUGACAUAUACGAGAAGCCUCUGGAGACAGAGGUCUCUUUGGACACUUGUAUACAGGUGGUGCAUGGCUGUCGU
rnacentral:rRNA from 1 species